AACAAGACACUCCCUAUGGUUACUGGGUUAAUCACUUCAUCUCAUUAUGUGCCAGUUAACUGCAAGAAGUUCAUUAUUGAUCAAUAGGCAUCUAUGUUGACAACUAUUAUUGUUCGUUGUGGUUAUGUAGGUGUAGCAUAUUGACAACUAUUAUUGUUCAUUGUGAUUAUGUAGGUGUAGUAUAUUGACAAAUAUUAUUGUUAUUGUGAUUAUGUAGGUGUAGUAUAUUGACAAACCAUUAUUGUUCAUUGUGGUUAUGUAGGUGUAGUAUAUUGACAAAUAUUAUUGUUAUUGUGAUUAUGUAGGUGUAGUAUAUUGACAAACCAUUAUUGUUCAUUGUGGUUAUGUAGGUGUAGUAUAUUGACAAAUAUUACUGUUAUUGUGAUUAUGUAGGUGUAGUAUAUUGACAAACCAUUAUUGUUCAUUGUGAUUAUGUAGGUGUAGUAUAUUGACAAAUAUUAUUGUUAUUGUGAUUAUGUAGGUGUAGUAUAUUGACAACCGUUAUUGUUCAUUGUGAUUAUGUAGGUGUAGUAUAUUGACAACUAUUAUUGUUUAUUGUGAUUAUGUAGGUGUAGUAUAUUGACAAAUAUUAUUGUUCAUUGUGAUUAUGUAGGUGUAGUGGAUUGACAACUAUUAUUGUUCAUUGUGAUUAUGUAGGUGUAGCAUAUUGACAAUUAUUAUUGUUCAUUGUGGUUAUGUAGGUGUAGUAU